GGGGAUUUAGCUUAGCGGCAUAAGCACCUGCCUUAAAAGCAGGCGGUUGUGAGUUCAAUCCCUG
rfam:Cavia porcellus supercont2_2 genomic scaffold, whole genome shotgun sequence.